UAGGGAAUCUUCGGCAAUGGACGAAAGUCUGACCGAGCAACGCCGCGUGAGCGAAGAAGGCUUUAGGAUCGUAAAACUCUGUUGUUAGAGAAGAACAAGGACGUUAGUAACUGAACGUCCCCUGACGGUAUCUAACCAGAAAGCCACGGCUAACUACGUGCCAGCAGCCGCGGUAAUACGUAGGUGGCAAGAGUUGUCCGGAUUUAUUGGGCGUAAAGCGGGCGCAGGCGGUUUCGUAAGUCUGAUGUGAAAGCCCCCGGCUCAACCGGGGAGGGUCAUUGGAAACUGCGGGUCUUGAGUUCAGAAGAGGUGAGUGGAAUUCCGUGUGUAGCGGUGAAAUGCGUAGAUAUAUGGAGGAACACCAGUGGCGAAGGCGGCUCUCUGGUCUGUAACUGACGCUGAGGCUCGAAAGCGUGGGGAGCAAACAGG
rnacentral:rRNA from 1 species